rnacentral:misc_RNA from 1 species
AUGCAAAUGCAAUUGUUGCACGCACCGCCGUCCACGCAUCCGCAUCCACAUCCGCAUCUGCAGCAUCCGGCGGCAGCCGCGACUGCAGCAGCCACCUAUCAGGCCUACCCCACGCCGGCCAUGCAGACCAGCAUCGUUGCCGUCCACCAGCAGCAGCAGCACCAACAGCAGCAGCAGCACCAGCAGCAGCAGCAACACCACCAACAACAACAGCAGCAGGCGGCCGUCUUCCAUCAGCAGGUGGCGGUGGCCCAGGCCCAGGCCCAGGCCCAAGCUCAGGCCCAAGCCCAGGCGCAGCAUCAGCAGCAGCUCCAGCAGCAGUACCACUACCAGGCACAGGCCCAAGCCCAGGCCCAGGCACAGGCCAUGCUGCAGACGUACAUGCAACUGCAGGUGAACAACGUGAGUGUGGCCGCUGCACCGGCCACGCCCACCAAGUACCAGGCCGGGACCCAGGCUGUGGGGGCGGCAGCGGCAGCGCCACAGUUCUUUGCGGCGCCGAGCACGCCGCUCACGAUCAUACCGGCUGGGGCGGCGGCAGUGGCCGCCUCGGCGAUGUUUGCCACGGCCGCCACGCCCACGUCCGCAGCAACGACACCGACCAACAAUGUAAGGAUCGAUGAACAAUUUAUAUAUAAGCUGAACUAUUUGGUGAGUUAUCCGCCAGACGAUGAUUAUGAUGGCCAAAUGCCGCUUCAAUUACGCGGAAGCGACGAACUUUUGAGUCAAGCAGCAGUCAUGGCGCCCGCUUCCGACAAUAACAAUCAGGACCUGGCCACAAAGAAGGCCAAGCUGGAACCGAGCACCGUGCUGGCCGGCGGAAUUGCCAAGGCCUCGAAAGUCAUCCACUUGCGGAACAUUCCAAACGAGUCCGGCGAAUCGGAUGUGAUCGCUCUGGGCGUGCCGUUCGGUCGCGUCACAAACGUCCUCGUGCUGAAGGGCAAGAACCAGGCGUUCAUCGAGAUGGCCGACGAGAUGGCCGCCACAUCGAUGGUGUCCUGCUACACAGUGAAUCCGCCACAGAUGCGUGGACGCAUGGUCUACGUCCAGUUCUCCAAUCAUCGCGAGCUCAAAACGGAUCAGAGUCACAAUAACUCGGUGGGGCAGAGCGACUACCGCAUCCAGUCGCCGGCCGGCGGCUCUCCGCUGCCCCUGUGCGCGGCCAAUGCCACCAGCAACAAUGCCAACAACUCCGGCGACAGCAACAGCAGUGCCGUGGGCAUUUUGCAGAACAACACCAGUGCGGUGAAUGCCGGGAACAACACCAAUGCCGCCAAUGCCGCCGGCGGACCCAACACCGUGCUCCGGGUGAUUGUCGAGUCGCUGAUGUAUCCGGUCUCGCUGGACAUAUUGCAUCAGAUAUUCCAGCGGUACGGCAAGGUGCUGAAGAUCGUCACCUUCACCAAAAACAAUUCAUUCCAGGCCCUCAUCCAAUAUCCGGACGCCAACUCCGCCCAGCACGCCAAGUCCCUGCUGGACGGGCAGAACAUCUACAACGGGUGCUGCACGCUCCGCAUCGACAACAGCAAGCUGACGGCCCUCAACGUGAAGUACAACAACGACAAGUCGCGCGACUUCACGAAUCCGGCGCUGCCGCCGGGCGAGCCGGGCGUCGACCUGAUGCCCACCGCUGGCGGCCUGAUGAACACCAACGAUCUGCUGCUGAUCGCCGCCCGCCAGCGGCCCUCCCUAACAGGUGAUAAAAUAGUCAAUGGAUUGGGUGCUCCCGGUGUCCUGCCACCGUUCGCCCUGGGCCUGGGCACACAGCUGACCGGCGGCUACAGCAACGCCCUGCCCAAUCUGGCCGCCUUCUCGCUGGCCAACAGCGGGGCCCUGCAGACCACCGCGCCGGCCAUGCGCGGCUACUCGAAUGUAUUGCUCGUCUCGAAUUUAAAUGAGGAGGUGUAUACGGCGAUGUGCAACGUGUAAAGAUCUUGUACAACAAAAAGGACUCGGCACUCAUACAGAUGGCGGAGCCCCAGCAAGCAUACUUAGCCAUGUCUCACCUUGAUAAAUUACGUUUAUGGGGCAGGCCGAUACGUGUCAUGGCCAGCAAACACCAGGCCGUGCAGCUGCCGAAGGA